ensembl:snRNA U4 U4 spliceosomal RNA
AGCUUUGCGCAGUGGUGGUAUUGCAGCCAAAGAGGUUUAUCUGAGGCUCAACUAUUGCUAAUUGAAAACUUUUUCCACUACCCCGCCAUGACGACUUGCAAUAUAGUCGGCAUUGGCAAUUUUUGACAAUCUUUACGGAGA